rnacentral:rRNA from 1 species
UACGAAGGGUGCAAGCGUUAAUCGGAAUUACUGGGCGUAAAGCGUGCGUAGGCGGUUUCUUAAGUCUGCUGUGAAAGCCCUGGGCUCAACCUGGGAAUGGCGGUGGAUACUGAGAAGCUGGAGUACGGUAGAGGAAGGUGGAAUUCCCGGUGUAGCGGUGAAAUGCGCAGAUAUCGGGAGGAACACCGGUGGCGAAGGCGGUUCUCUGGGCCUGUACUGACGCUGAGGAGCGAAAGCGUGGGGAGCGAACAGG